GCCACGGUGGCCUAGUGGUUAGAACGUCAGCCUCAGAUGCUGGAGGUCACCGGUUCGAACCCCGGCCAAGUCA